rnacentral:rRNA from 1 species
UACGGAGAGUUUGAUUCUGGCUCAGGACGAACGCUGGCGGCGUGCUUAACACAUGCAAGUCGAACGGAAAGGCCCUGCUUUUGUGGGGUGCUCGAGUGGCGAACGGGUGAGUAACACGUGAGUAACCUGCCCUUGACUCUGGGAUAACCGCGGGAAACGGCGGCUAAUACCGGAUAUGAGACGUACAGGCAUCUGUUGCGUCUGGAAAGAUUUAUCGGUCAAGGAUGGGCUCGCGGCCUAUCAGCUUGUUGGUGGGGUGAAGGCCUACCAAGGCGGCGACGGGUAGCCGGCCUGAGAGGGUGACCGGCCACAUUGGGACUGAGAUACGGCCCAGACUCCUACGGGAGGCAGCAGUGGGAAUAUUGCACAAUGGGCGGAAGCCUGAUGCAGCAACGCCGCGUGCGGGAUGACGGCCUUCGGGUUGUAAACCUCUUUCAGCAGGGACGAAGCGAGAGUGACGGUACCUGCAGAAGAAGGACCGGCCAACUACGUGCCAGCAGCCGCGGUAAUACGUAGG